rnacentral:lncRNA from 1 species
GCGAGACCCCGGACCAGCCCGCACCGCGGAGGACCGGAGAGGGCGAUUCGGUGAGUAUAUGGUGAGAAGGCAGCUGUCUGUGAACCAGAAGGAGGGCCCUCACCAAGAAGUGACCAUGCUGGCACCCUGAUCUUGGACUUCUGGCAUCUGGAACUUUUAUUCUCUCCACAGUGGUCGGGGCAGUCUGAGAGAAUACGGUGGAAUCGAUGGUAUGCGACUUCCAAGGUUAGGUCAUAAAAGACAUUGAAGUUUCUGCUUUGUCUCUUGAAUCACUUUCUCUGGGGGAAACCAGCUACUGGGUCAUAAGGACACUCAAGCAGCACCAUGGAGGGGCCCAAGUGGAGAGAAACCAACUUGCCAGCAUUAACUUGGUAGUUGUGCAGCCAUGUGAAUGAGUGGAUCCUACCAUCCUAGUCAAACCUCUGAUAACUGAAGGUCCCACCUAUAUUUGACUGCAGUCUUCCAACAGACCCCACCCAAGCUGCUCUAGGAUUCCUGACCUACAGAAACUGUGAGGGAUAAGAUAUGCUUGUUGUUUUAACCCACUAAGUUUUAGAGUGAUUUGUUACACAGCAAUAUACAACAAAUACACAAGUCAUCACAGAAAGUUUGCUUGCUUUCAAGCCUGGAACGCCUGGGACCUUCAGUGAACCUCUUCCUCAGAUACAUGCCUGCGUAGUGUCAACUUGCUCUAUUGCUGGGAAGUGCUUGGCUGAUUAUCUUCUUCCUGCCCUGGGAGAUGUCUCACUAAUCAUUCAUUCAUUCAGCAAACAUUACAACGUUCCAGGCACUGUGCUAACUACUGAAUAUUCAGUGAUAUAGGAUAAAAUCUCUGUCCUAAAGUUGCUUGCAGUCAGAUGGGAGAAAAGCAAGUAAAUACAACAAUUUGUGAGCUUUAAAAAAGACCUAUAACAUCUUGUGAAGGAGGGGCAGAACUUAUCAUCCUCAACUAACAUAGAGAAAAUUGUCUCAUAGAGCAGGAGCUGAUAGCCCUUGGCUUUCUGGAUGGAGGAGACAGCAAUGGAGUGGAGGGAUUUCUCAGGAAUCUCCCCCAGGGGCUGCUCUAC